UUUGACUUUUGACAGAAUUAUUCCUUUCGAUCAAAAACUUUCUCUCUAUUUUCUUCGCUAGCAAAUAUUAACAACCAAGUGGCGCAAACAUUUUGCAUAAAAUUCAGCAUUGUUCUUCUAAAAGCAUAUUUGACCUAUUUGAUCGAUUUAAUAUACUGAUGGAGUGCACAUCAAUCUUAUUGGGACUAAUAGAAUACAAUUAAACCCAACACAACCUGAAUG
rnacentral:misc_RNA from 1 species